rnacentral:rRNA from 1 species
UCAAGCGAAUACAGGUCUAUGGCGGAUGCCUAUGGAGCCGCAAGACGAAGAAGGACGCGGUAAGCUGCGAAAAGCCGGGGUCAGGAGCACACAUCCGUUUUACCCCCGGAUAUCCGAAUGGAGUAAUCCGGUACAGCAAUGUAUCAUCCGAAGCACUGAAUAAAAUAGGUGCCGGAAGUCAUACUGCAUGAAGUGAACCAUCUAAGUAAUGCGGGAACAGAAAUCAAUUGAGAUUCCCCCAGUAGCGGCGAGCGAACGGGGAGUAGCCCAAACCGCGUAAGCGGGGUUGUAGGACUGCGACAUGAGUUAGUAAAAACUGAAAGGUAGGAGAAGCUUCUGGGAAGGAGCGCCAGAGUGAGUGAAAGCCUCGUAACCGAAACCUGACAGUCUCUAGCAGUAUCCUGAGUAGGGCGGGGCACGAGAAACCCUGUCCGAAUCCGGGUCGACCACGAUCCAAGGCUGAAUACGCCCAGCUACCGAUAGCGCAGAAGUACCGUGAGGGAAAGGCGAAAAGAACCCCGGCGAGGGGAGUGAAAGAGAACCUGAAACCAUGGACCGGCAAGAUGUCGCGGGCGUAGCGCUUGCGGCGUGUCUUUUGUAGAAUAAACCUGCGAGUUGCGGUGCGCGGCGAGGCUAAGGGAUAGGAGUCCCGGAGCCGGAGCGAAAGCGAGCCUGAAGAGGGCGGUUAAGUCGCGCGGCGCAGACCCGAAGCCAAUGUGAUCUUACCAUGGGCAGGCUGAAGCAGGGGUGAAACCCUGUGGAGGGCCGAACGGUAAUCUGUUAAAAAAGGUAGCGAUGACCUGUGGUAAGGAGUGAAAGGCUAAACAAACAUGGAAAUAGCUGGCUCUCCCCGAAAUGCCUUUAGGGACAGCCUCAUGCAAAGCUCACGGAGGUAGAGCACUGGAGGAGUGCGGGGGAGUCAAAUCCUACCAAGCUCCAUCAAACUGCGAAUGCCGCGAGCCAGCGCAUGGGAGUGAGACUGCGUGCGACAAGGUUCGUAGUCGAGAGGGAAACAGCCCGGACCGCCGGCUAAGGUCCCGAAACCAUGCUGAGUGUGAAAUGAGGUGCGGAUGCGCAGACAGCCAGGAGGUUGGCUCAGAAGCAGCCAUUCCUUGAAAGAGUGCGUAACAGCUCACUGGUCGAGCAUCCGUGCGCAGACAAUGUAACGGGGCUAAGCAUGGUACCGAAGACCCGGAUUCAUAUCUUAUGAUAUGACUGGUAGGGGAGCAUUCCGCAGGCCGGGGAAGGGAUACCCGCGAGGGGUCCUGGAGGAGGCGGAAGAGAGAAUGCAGGCAUAAGUAACGAAAAGACGGGUGCGAUCCCCGUCCGCCGAAAACAUAAGGUUUCCGGGGUAAAGGCAAUCUGCCCCGGGUAAGUCGGCCCCUAAGGCGAGGCGGAAACGCGUAGCCGACGGGAAAUCGGUUUAUAUUCCGAUACUCACUGAGUUUCUACGGGAUGACGCAUGAGGCGAGAUCCGGCCCGGCGAUGGUAGCCCGGGUCCAAGCGCUCAGCCGGUGAGGGGGCGGUCAAAUGAGCCCCUGAGGCGAGGCGUGACGGCGAGAGGAGAGAAAGUCGAGUCGAAGCGGACGUAGUCAAGGUGCCGGGAAAUAGUCCCUAGGCCAGGCUCAGUGAACCGUACCGUAAACGGACACACGUAUGUGGGGUGAGUAACCUAAGGCGCACGAGCGACCUCGCGUUAAGGAACUCGGCAAAAUGCACACGUAACUUCGGGAGAAGUGUGGCUCGCGUAGUCAAGUAUUGCGAGCGGCAGAAAGCAGGCCCAGGCGACUGUUUAUCAAAAACACAGCCAUCUGCGAACAGGCAACUGGACGUAUAGGUGGUGACACCUGCCCGGUGCCGGAAGGUUAAGGGGAGCGCUCAGGAGCAAUCCGAAGGUGCGAACCGAAGCCCCGGUAAACGGCGGCCGUAACUAUAACGGUCCUAAGGUAGCGAAAUUCCUUGUCGGGUAAGUUCCGACCCGCACUAAUGGUGUAACGAUUCUGGGCGCUGUCUCAACGCGAGACUCGGUGAAAUUUAUGUGCCGGUAAAGAAGCCGGCUACCCAUAAUUAGACGGAAAGACCCCGUGAACCUUCACCGCAACCUAGCGCUGGGAUU